AGCAAACUGUGAGUUGUUUAUUUUCUGCCAUUUAAAAAUAUUAAAAUUUGUUUUUGUUAAUAUAUCUGCACAUAAUUUAAUUAGCAAUAUAAAACUGCUUAUCUCUGAUGCUGUAAAUGCAAAGGAGGCGGCAGACUUCAAGCGACAUCUAUCAAAGAAUAGCAAAAAUCGGCCAUUUUUGAGCAGUGUUGCCUACUCAAAUUUGGAAAAUUCAGCUAAAUGCACGGAAUUCUUGUGCAUUACAAACUUGCAUUAACAUGGGUAAAUGUAAAUUAAGCCCGCUAAUACAAAUUAGCGCUGUCGUCUGUCAGGGCUAUAAACCUACAGGUAACAAAUCCUAUAAUUUUCACCCAUACAUACACAGGCGAAAGCUUAUAGAAUGACAGAAAUUAUAUUAAGAAUGCCAUAGAAUGUCUCCCUCAUUCAGGGCAAAAGGCCAGCCACUUCAUUAGGGUUUCCUAAAUAUUCUACUACUAAAACGACCAAAUGCCUUAUAAAAGGCACGAGUGUGUUGCCGAGUUAUGCUAUCCAAUCUAUUAUUUUAAAAUAUAUUUCGAUUAUUAAAAUUCAUAAAGAUGUAAUUUACCUAGCUUUGAUUAAAAUUUUAUAUAUUGUAUCAAAAUAUUGGUAAAUCUUUCCUAUUCUAUUAAAAAAGAAGAAUAUCAGGCAUGUUCCAGAAAUCGCUUUCGCAUGAAAAUGAUAAUGAAACAAGAAUGAUAGAAACAAGAUUGCGCAAUGCGCAUAUUUGCUUUCAGUCAGCUGUUCUUGCUGACGUCACGGUUGACUUAUUAUUCGCCCGCGCUUUUUAAAGUGAAUUCGAAUUGUGUUUUCAAGUGCUGUAUUAAUUGUUAAAUUUUAUAUUUUUUAAAAUGAGUUGCGCAGUGUUAGGUGCAAUAAUAAUAAUGGUAAAAAUUGUACUACGAAAUGGAGAUUUUUCCAUUUCCCUAAAGAUAAAACAGUGGCAAAACAAUGGAUAAUUUUUGUCGUCGUACGGACAAAAUUAAUGCAACUUGCAGUUUGAAAUGCGUUUAAGUUCGCGGAAUCCAACUAAGUUACUGCCUAGCGCUUUUCCCACGUUAACCACUGCUCCUGCAGAGGCUAAUGAACGGCAGAAAAGGAUGGAGUCUCGUUCAAAAAAAGGAAAGUUAACAACAAUGUUGAAGAAUACCGCCCCUGUUGAAGUAAUUCAAGAAGACGAGGUUGGAGAGGCACCUCAAACUGCGGGAGAGGAGGUCAUCAAUUAGAAAGCCGAGAAAAUACUGCAUUUGGAAACAGAAAUACAAAGGCUGAAUAGUGUUGUUAGAACUUUGAAUAAGUGCAAAAACGAGCAGUCAGCAGAAAUUAAACGCCGUAGGAUUUCCAUUAAAACCUCGGAAUUCCACAGAAAUAAUUUGGAGCAAAAACUUAGCUGUAUUUUCAUCAACGGCCAGGUAAUAUUUUUCAACGUGUGUCAGUUGAUCUAAAUUCCACUGACCCAAUUGAAAAAAAUGAUGACUUGGAGAUUCUCAACAACGACGGACUUGAGAAUUUGGCAGGGUACAUCUGCCACAAAGUCGGUAAACACAACCUCGAAAUUUGUGGCAAUUCAGAAAAUUGUUCGUCUUAUACUUGGGUGGAUCACCUUUCUGAAGGAGGACUCUCAAAACCAGCAGAUAUGUUAAUGGAGCAUAUGAGAGUCUUGCAAGCAGGCGAUGUAUAUGGUACUGAUUUGCAUAUAUGUAUGUAUGUACAAAUUACGCACAGAAGCACUUAGAUUUAAAUAAUUUUGUAAAUGGUAGCUCGAAAGUAAAAUAAUUGUUUUUCAUAGCUAUAAUGUAUUUUAGGAUUCGUUCCUUAAAUAAAAACUUAAUUGAACAUACAUAUGUAUAGCAAAAAAAAAGAAAAUUAAAUAAGACAAUAAAUUGAUACUUGGUCACAAAAUAUUCAAUCUUUUUAUUUGCAUAAAUGUAUAUGGUUGAAACAAACACAGCAAAGAGACAAAAUUAAAUAAUACAAUGAAAAUACAAUUAAAUGAAUAUGUACAUAGGUAAAUGUUCACUAUAAAAUAUUCACUUAUAUUGAUAUCUUUUAUUAAUAUUCACUUAUAUUGAUGUUAACUUUUAAUUAUAUUCAUGUUUUUGUAUGCCUGCAAUACAAAAUUGCUUCUUAUUGCAAAGAAAAACAAACAACUGAAAAUCAGCUGAUUGUACGUUGGUCAACCGUGACGUAGAUGCGCAGUACGAACAAAAUUUGAACUCGUCAUUGCGCAAUCUUGUUUCUAUCAGUCUUGAUAAUGAAAUCGUGAGACGGUGUUCUGAAUACCACUUUGCGAUUACGAAUUUACAUUUUUCGAACAUGAAAUCGGUGCGAUAUGGCAUGUUCUAGAAAUCGUUUUCGCAAAUUGUUUGACGUUUUGAUACCGGUUAAAAAUAAGUGCGCGAAAUUAUUGAAUUUGCUUGUAAAAUCUAAAAUGUAAGUAUUUGAGCCAGUUAUUUGGAUUUCUUCACAAAAAUUAAUACUUUCCUUUUCUUAUUUUAGGGGAAAAUAUAAAAGCCAAAGUCAAGAACAAAUUUUUUUAAAUUUUAUGGGGAAAAAUCCUGACUUGAAUUAAGACACUGUGCAAGAUUGCCUCAAAAAGCACAUGGCAACGGAAGCAGGUGCAGUUGAAAAGAUAUCUGAUACCUUGCAGCUUCUUUCUGCAAAUAUGGAUAAAUUGACCAAGUUAGUGGCGUAACAAAAUGAGCUCAUUGCCGAACAAAACCAAGAUCUAAAAUGUUAUAAAGCAAAAGAUGCUAGAAAUUGAAGAAAUUCGAGUCCAAAGGGAUAUUUAUUUCAAACCAAAUACUAAAAAUAUCGAAUAAUUAAUUUUACUAAACUUUACUUUUAUUAUUAAAUGAUCUCAUAGUCAAAAAGUUUAACUUAAAUGUGAUGUUUUUAUUGAAUAAAAAAAUAUGAAAAUUAAA